UACGUAGGGGGCUAGCGUUGUCCGGAAUCAUUGGGCGUAAAGCGCGCGUAGGCGGCCAGAUAGGUCCGUUGUGAAAACUCGAGGCUCAACCUCGAGACGCCGAUGGAAACCAUCUGGCUAGAGUCCGGAAGAGGAGAGUGGAAUUCCCGGUGUAGCGGUGAAAUGCGCAGAUAUCGGGAAGAACACCCGUGGCUAAGGCGGCUCUCUAGUACGGUACUGACGCUGAGACGCGAAAGCGUGGGGAGCGAACAGG
rnacentral:rRNA from 1 species